GUUACAUGUUGAUGUGGUCCAGAAAAUUAUUAGCACUCCUGCUGACUUUGAUGGUUCUUCUCCUGACACACUUGUUUGGGGUCCUAGUCCCAAUGGGGAGUUCACAGUUAAAUCUGCUUAUAAUAUUUGCUCCAGCUUGUCUCAAGGGGAUGAUGAUAGCUGGUAUUUUAUUUGGAAGCUUAAGAUUCCUCCCAAACUAAAAGUGUUUCUGUGGCUAUUAUCCCAAAAUAAAAUUCUGACCAAUGUACAGAGAACAAGAAGAAAAAUGACAAAUAAUUCAGCUUGUCCGUUUUGUCAUUGCCAUAUGGAAUCGCUUCAGCAUGUGUUCAUCCGUUGUCCUCGAGCUCAAGCAAUAUGGAACUCCUUCUCCUUACCUGAUUGUGUUAAGAGUCUAUUGGAAGAGUUCCUGGGACUGCAGCAUCUUUCAUGUUUUCAGGGAGGUUAACUUUGCUGCUGACUCUCUGGCUAAGAUGGGGCAUGAGAUGGAAUUGGGA